UUGAGCCUAUCCUGGGCUAGUUCGUGUUUGCUGCGGUAACGGUGCAGCAGUGAGUGAAAUUUUCGUUAAUAAUCACGUAGCUGGUGUGACGUUUGGAAAGGGAAGUGAGGAAGUGAAAGAUAUUUAUAUUAUUUGAAUUAUCAUUUGAUAACAUGUCAACUUGUGUGUGUGUGUGUGUGUGAGUGUGUGGACUGGAUGGGUUGAAGAGCAUUGACAGAUGGCGCUGGGGAGGGAGAGCGGGCGGCUGGCUGGCUGGCUGGCCACCUGCAGUGUUUUGGCCAGCACUGGUCAGUCCUACCCCACACGCUCUAUUAAGCAGUGUUUCCGUAUUCCUGGCAGCUUCUCCCUGCACCGAGCACCGCCAGGCAGCACCAGAGAGGCACGAGUACGUAAGGUUGUGAAGUCCACGAAGCACAGGCGGAGGAACAAAGUGGACAAGGACGUGGGGCGGCAAUCAGAGGAAAGUCUCUCUCUCUCUCCAAUGCUAGAAAUUCUCUCUAAGUCAAUCCCCCGGCAGGUUGUGAAGUCCACGAAGCACAAGCACAGG